UGGAGGUUGCGGUGAGCCAAGAUUGUGCCAUUGCACUCCAGCCUGGACUACAAGAGGGAGACUCUGUCUAAAAAAAAAAAAAGGUUUGAGUAACCCAUGAGAAGGUUGUAAAUUAAACAAAGAGGUAUUAUAUUGUUUAAUGAGAAAUCAAAGGAUAAAAAAGAAAAGAAAACAGAGGUAAAAAGCCCAGAGAACAAGCAGAAAUGAAACUUAAGUGGCAGACAUUCCAGCCAAUAACAGAAUACAUAUUCUUUUCAUGUGCCUUUGGAAACAUAUACAAAGAUAGACAUAUUCUAGGCCAUAAAACAACAUAAUGCAAAACUUUAUUUAGUUAAAAAAUUUUUUUUUAAUUUAAGUCAUGUAAUGUUGGUCAUAUCAGUAGGCCAAAGAAGAAAAAUCAUGAUUAUAUCAGUUAAUGCAAUGAGUUUGGCAGAAUUCAACAACCGUUUAUAAACAGACUCUCAGUACAAUAGGAACAAAGGAGAAACUUCUAAAAAUCUACAGCCAACAUUCUUUUUAAAAUUUGGUAGGCCAGGCGCGCACGGCGGCUGCGGCGCGCAGACACAAGUAGUUUACAUUGUUGCGCGACUUUUGCAACAACUCGCGGCGCUGCGGCCGCUGCCCGCUGCCUGCACCGCCGGCCGGGCAUGAGUUAGUGGCAGACAUGGACACCAAACAUUUCCUCCCGCUCGAUUUCUCCACCCAGGUGAACUCGUCCCUCACCUCCCCGACAGGCCGAGGCUCCAUGGCCGUGCCCUCCCUGCACCUGUCCCUGGGGCCUGGCAUCGGGUCCCCAGGGCAGCUGCACUCCCCCAUGAGCACCCUGAGCUCCCCCAUCAAUGGCAUGGGCCCGCCCUUCUCCAUCAUCAGCUCCCCCAUGGGCCCGCACUCCAUGUCGGUGCCUGCCACACCCACCCUAGGCUUCAGCACUGGCAGCCCCCAGCUCAGCUCACCCAUGAACCCCGUCAGCAGCAGCGAGGACAUCAAGCCUCCCUUGGGCCUCAGUGGCAUCCUCAAGGUCCCCGCCCACCCCUCAGGAAACAUGGCAUCCUUCACCAAGCACAUCUGCGCCAUCUGCGGGGACCGCUCCUAAGGCAAGCACUACGGCGUGUACAGCUGUGAGGGCUGCAAGGGCUUCUUCAAGUGGACGGUGCGCAAGGACCUGACCUACACCUGCCGCAAGAACAAGGGCUGCCUGAUUGACAAGCGGCAGCGGAACCGGUGCCAGUACUGCCGCUACCAGAAGUGCCUGGCCAUGGGCAUGAAGCAGGAAGCCGUGCAGGAGGAGCGGCAGCGUGGCAAGGACGAGAAUGAGGUGGAGUCGACCAGCAGCGCCAAUGAGGACAUGCCCGUGGAGAGAAUCCUGGAGGCCGAGCUGGCUGUGGAGCCCAAGACCGAGACCUACCUGGAGGCCAACGUGGGGCUGAACCCCAGCUGGCCGAACCACCCCGUCACCAACAUCUGCCAAGCAGCCGAUAAGCAGCUCUUCACCCUGAUGGAGUGGGCCAAGCGCAUCCCGCACUUCUCAGAGCUGCCCCUGGACGACCAGGUCAUCCUGCUGCAGGCAGGCUUGCCAAGCUUUUGCUCCGCCUGCCGGCUCUGCGCUCCACUGGGCUCAAGCGCCUGGAACAUCUCUUCUUCAAGCUCAUUGGGGACACGCCCAUCGACACCUUCCUCAUGGAGAUGCUGGAAGCCCCACACCAAAUGACAGGCCUGCGGGCCCAUCCUUCGCGCCCGCCGGGUCUGGCCACCCCACCUGGACGCAGCUGCUCUUCUCAGCCUGCGCCCUGUUCUUGCCCCUCUCUGCCUGGCCCGUUUGGACUUUGGGGCGCAGCCUGUCACUGCUCUGCCUAAGAGAUGUGUUGUCACCUCCUUAUUUCUGUUACUACUUGUCUGUGGCCCAGGGCAGUGGCUUUCCUGAGGCGGCAGCCUGAGUGGCAAGAACUACAGUGAGCCCAGCCAGGUGCUUCCCCACCAGGCUCUCGGGACACCCUGCCACACCCCACAGGUCUUUUCUAAAGAUAGCACUAACAUCAGCUCAUUAGCCACCUGGGCCUGUUCCCAGCUUGGCCCGGCUGGAUGAAGCGGCUUCCCCACGGGCCCCCCUUCGCAGUGGCUGCUUCCUGGGCCACCAGGGCACCCCAGCGCCUUCAGGCAUGUUCCUCAGCUGGUCACCUCCUUGCUUUGCCUUCCGAUGGGGCUCCUGAGGCUGAGGAGUGAAGAUGCCGCAGAGCCAGGCCACCCUAGGCUUCGUCAGGUGUGUUUGGAAGCUGGCCUGCUGGGGCCCUCCAUCCUAGGGCCUGUGUCAGCCACCAGCCCUGUGCACCCUGGAAGCACACAGGCUCUGGGAAAGAUAGCCCUGACCUUUGGUGUUCCAAGUCACGGUGUUCCCCAAGAAUUCUGGGCCGGCAGCCUGCUGGCGAAGACCCUAAGCCUUUCCCUGUGGGGCACCCAGGAGGGCCUAGCCGGCAUGUGCAGCCUGUGGGUGGCCGGCUGAUGUCCCCGCUGUGGUCAGGGUGCGUGACCUGGUGCCCAUCCACGCAGGUGUAUGGUGUAAACAUGUAUGUGCUGUACAGACGUGUGUGGAGAGAGCCGCGCACCAGGGCCACGGAGAGGCGGAGCAGUUACCAAUGUUUCGUAUUUAUUUUUAAUCAAGACGUUUCCCCUGUUUUCCUAUAAAUUUGCUUAGUGUAAGCAAGUACAUAAAGGCCCUCCUUUGGUGAAAUCUGGAUUCGAAUGAAUAUCUCAAGGCAGGAGAUGCAUCUGUUUUAAGAUGCUUUGGAGCAGACAGCUUUAGCCGUUCCCAAUCCUUAGCAAUGCCUUAGCUGGGACGCAUAGCUAAUACUUUAGAGAGGAUGACGGAUACAUAAGAGAGUAACGAUAGGAGAAAAUGUCUAAAGCAUCUGGAAAGGUAAAAAAAAAAAAAAUCUAUUUUUGUACAAAUGUAAUUUUAUCCCUCGUGUAUACUUGGAUGUGGCGGGGGGAGGGCUGGGACUGUUUUGUUUCUGCUUCUAGAGAUUGAUGUGAAAGCUUCUUCCGAGAGAUGCCAGGGCAGACGAUGGCAAAGGAGAGGGCCCCUGUGACAGCGGCGAGGCUUGGGAGGAAACCACCACCGGGGGCAUCUUCCUUGGGGAUGGGAGGGUGGGCCUGAGGCUUUCAAGGGUUUUCUUCCCUUUUUGAGUAAUUUUUAAAGCCUUGCUCUGUUGUGUCCUGUGGCCAGCCUUUCCGUGACUGUGACUGAAAUGGCUUCCCCAUACGAUUGUCUGAAACGUGGCAGCGGCAGGUGCCGGGGUCUGAUGGACAGUGGCAUAGAAUUGUGGAAAAGAAACACGCAAAAGGAGAAACAUGAGAGAAGAAACAAAAUAUGAGUGUUUAAAAUA